rnacentral:rRNA from 1 species
UACGUAGGGUGCAAGCGUUGUCCGGAAUUAUUGGGCGUAAAGAGCUCGUAGGCGGUCUGUCACGUCGGCUGUGAAAACCCGAGGCUCAACCUCGGGCCUGCAGUCGAUACGGGCAAACUGGAGUACUGCAGGGGAGACUGGAAUUCCUGGUGUAGCGGUGAAAUGCGCAGAUAUCAGGAGGAACACCUGCGGUGUAGACGGCUUACUGGACCAUAACUGACGCUGAGGCACGAAAGCGUGGGGAGCGAUCCGG